CCCCAACGGUUAUUUUAUUUAACCUUAAGAGACUCUAGGGCUAAUAAAAAAAUAAGCGAUGGUGAAGUAAUCUUCGAUUCCACUCCACGUUCGAUCGGGGACAUGAAAGACCCAAUUUAAAAUUGGAACUGAAAUUUCAUGAUCAGAAAACCCUAAUUCGAGGUCGGAUAGGAAUCGUGAUGUGAUGAGAUUCCUUGGACCAAACUCGAUCGGAAAACCCUAAUUCGAAAUUGGAGAGUCGUUGCGAUCUCGAUCGGUUAGAAUCACGAACAGAGAGCUGUUGUUUGCGAUAUGUUUUUCGGCAGGAGUUUGCACUGGCGUUUGAUCUUGCGGAGGAGGGGGUUCAAGUUUCUCUCAUUGUACGAUUCACGACUUUCACUACCGCAUCACAAGCGACUCUCAUCGUAAUGAUUUUCUUUCCAGAUUCAUGUCGUAUCUCCAGACUUUGGAGUUUGCAGUGGCGUUUGAUCUGGGUUGCGGAGGAGGUUUCUCUAUUCAUCACAGGCGAAUAGUUCUCACUUUAUGACUUUUGAGGACUUAUUAUUAUCCUGGAUUGAUUUCUUCAAAGUCGUGGCAUUGAAGAGAAAUAGGCAGGAACUAACCCAUUUGAUGUCUCCCUAUCCUUUAUUGGGCCAUCUCCCUCAUUUCUCCACCAACAAUCAAUUAGUGCUCCCCAUCUGAUGCCUCCAUAACCUUUAUUGGGUUUAUUUUCUCAUUUUUUUCCUUUUAUUAAAUUUUAUAUUGGUUAAUGUACUUCUAUUCUUAGUGGGGAGUGAAUCAAGACCAGAUCGUAGAUUCAAUAGUACUUACCAAAGAUAUUGCAGUAGAGAUCACAACAGCACACAUACUAAAACAACUGAGAAAGAAAGUGCAUUGAUGGGAGACUUGAAGAAUUAGAAGACACACUUAAAUAUCGGUGGUUACAUGGAUAUGAAGUUGAAGUCAACCAAUCUAUUGGUCGUGGCUCAAAUUUUGGAGGAGUUUAUUUCGUGAUUAUAGAAAUGACACGUCCUCAAUCGCUUCCCAUGUAGCUUGUUCCUCAGCUAAGUUCUUCCGGUUGGUCGCGUAGGGCCCGAAGUACUUGUUUGCAAGCUUUUAAUUUCGACACUUGGCUGCUGUUUUCUAGUACGGUCCGAUGUUCAAAUACACACAGUCGUCAUCCUCAUCUUUGAAGCAAUCUAUUGCCACAUCCCUUUCUUCCAAUUACUGAUCCAAUGUUGCGUUGGUAGCUUUCUUGCUUCCAUACCCAAUCAGAGGGAGUGGGCCUCCCAUAGGCCAAAUGAAAGGUGUUGUCCCCACCAAUACUUGGGCCAAUCAGCGAGACUUUGACAACAAGACUCAACUGCGGAAUUGACUGAAUAGGACACGAGCGGGUACUUUCAAGCCUAUGUGACCAAUGCACUUAUGCUGCCUUCACUCAAACACUUUCAAAGAAGCAAGGGGAAGGAGCGAAGCUGCUUUACCGAGUUUACGAGGGGAAGGGGAAGAGUUUUUGAAAUCGAUUCACUAAGCUAGCUUCACUCUUAAACUACUUGAACUAGAGGAGCGGUACGAGCUACCUACUCUACUAAUAGGCUUACUACAAAAGAAAGGAAGGCUAUUUGAGAUCCUUUUUCAAGGCUGUUGUGUAUAUCAUAGAAGCCAGGAAAGGAAAGAGGAUAGCAGAAAUCCCACAUUGGGUAGGCUUAAAUUUGAUCUCAGUUUACAGAAGGUGCGCGAGUUGCAGAGAAACUGCCAUCCAAUUUGCCAUGUGGAAGAUGGACAUUAAAUAAGUACAGUGACCUAAAAUAGUACAGUAAAAACUGGCUUUGUGGGACUGUGGCUGGGAUUGCUACAAGAAAAAAAGAGCACCUAUAACAAUUAAGUCAGGUCUUUUGGAACCUUUUUGAAAAUAACCUAUAUUGAGAUUUAUGUUAACAUUUUCUUUUGGCCUUAUAUUAAUGCAUUUGAAUGCUUUAUUUAUGUAUUA